CUUACCAUCCAUCCUGUGCCCGGCCAGGUCGGGUGAGGCGCGGUGCGGAGGGAAGGUGUUUCGUGCUGGUCUUGGCGUUGGUUGCCGGGGGAGCGCCUUGGAUGCUCGUGUUGUCGAGGCUCGGCUUUGGCGGGUGGGAAGAAGAGGCCCCAGAUAAGGGUUCCUCGAGGGCUGCGGCGUUCUCUGACUGAUGUGUGGAAAGAGGAAGCCCUUGCUGCCUUUCGUCCCAAGAGCUCCUCAAGUUCUGCAGUUUUUCCCUGGAGAUGAUUGUGGAAGUUGCAUCCCAGCUCCUGAGAGAAGACUCAGCCAACACUGGCCCCUGUUGUUAAAUGAAUUCCGUGUCACCCACCUCAGUGCAGUACUUAAACCAGGAUGAGCUGGGCCACUCAGAUGGAAGACAGCUUUUUAAUUCCAGGGCCAGCAGGCAAGGAGCAAGCUACCAAGGACUCUUUCCUGGAGGAGGUGCCGCCCACAGCCAGCAGAGUGAACCUGACGAAGUGGACAAAAUCAAAAGCAAGCUUCUCUCUACUUGGAACAAUGUAAAAUACGGAUGGACAGUCAAGACUAAAACCAAUUUCAGCAAACUUUCCCCAGUCUACCUCUUUGGACAUCGAUACAACUUUGGACAAGAGGAGGAUGUGGAGGGCUUCCAGAAAGACUUCGCUUCCCGCAUCUGGCUGACCUAUCGCCGGGACUUUCAGCAGCUGGAGGGAACUAUGUGGACCACAGACUGUGGCUGGGGCUGCAUGCUACGCAGUGGGCAGAUGCUGCUGGCGCAAGGCCUCCUUGUCCAUUUUCUUAGCAGAGACUGGAUCUGGCCAAAUGCCCUUUUUACCACCCGUGUGGCAGAGACGGAGCUUCCUGUGAAACUGCUUUCCCUACCCUGCCCCAACACAGCCAAUUUGCAUCAUGAUCCACCCAUUCCCACUGAUGGUAGCAGGAGUCCCUGGGAGCUACAAGCUGCUCAGCAUACCUGUAGUCCUGAUGAACUGGAGAAUGAACGCUAUCACCGAAAGAUUGUCUCGUGGUUUGCAGAUCAGCCUCAAGCACCCUUUGGGAUCCACCGUCUAGUUGAUCUGGGGCGUAGUUCAGGGAAGAAAGCUGGGGAUUGGUAUGGGCCCUCUGUUGCUGCUCACAUCAUCAGGAAAGCAGUGGAUUGCUGUUCAGAAGCAGGCAAUCUGGUGGUAUAUGUGUCUCAGGACUGCACAGUGUACAAAGGGGAUGUGGCAAACCUGGCCAACAGGAGUGAAGGCAGGUCCGCAUGGGAUGCUGGUGUAGAGUGGAAAGCAGUCAUCAUCCUGGUGCCCAUGCGAUUGGGUGGAGAGACUUUUAACCCUGCCUACGUGGAGUGUGUCAAGGAGCUUCUGAAGCUAGAUUUCUGCAUUGGAAUCAUUGGAGGAAAACCAAAGCAUUCACUCUACUUUGUUGGAUUUCAAGAUGACUCCCUUCUGUACCUGGACCCCCACUACUGCCAGCCCUUUGUGGACACCACCAAGGAGAACUUUUCCCUGGAGUCCUUCCAUUGCAACUCCCCCCGGAAAACAGCCUUCACCAAAGUGGAUCCCAGCUGCACCAUUGGCUUCUAUGCUCGUCACAGAAGAGAAUUUGAACAUCUGUGCCAGGAACUGACUCAGGUCCUAAACACAGCCACCGCCAAAGAGAGGUAUCCUAUGUUUUCAAUUGUGGAGGGCUGCUCUCAGGAGUAUGGCUUGGAGGAGUUGUGUGCCCGGUUUUCCCAGCAAACAGUGCAAGUCCAACGGCCCAGCAAGCGUGGCAGGACAAAAAAGGCUACCAUGGAGGAAUUUGUUGUCUUAUGAUUGCUGAUCGAGCAGCCCCGACACUUCUGACUAUUUAUUUUUUAUUUAUAUAGAUAAUGCAGGCCCAAAGUGGAGCUGCCUGGUUCUUAGGUCUAAGGAAGAGGUAUCUGUAUCAUAUCUGCACAGUAACAGUCCUUGCUAUUCCAGUCUGUGGCACCGUGGCUCUUCCUCAUAGGAGAGACUGAACAUGAACUGUGCUGAGGACACCAAACUUGUGGAAACCUGUUCCAAUUUAAAAACUGCUACUUGAUGGAAGUCAUGACACUGGGCCAUCCUGCUGAACAGGGGCAAGAGAUAUUUAGCACUAAAAUGAUUGCAAAUCCUUUUUAAAGUGGGCAGCUAACAUGAGAGGAGGUGGUGGUUUUGGACUAGUUUCAGGUUCUCUCUUUUCUGCUGAGAUACCAAGGCAUCUUAACUAUUUGGAGUGUCCAUUCUUGAACUCAGGAACAGGCUAUUAAUCCUUCAGUUGCUGCUGUCUGUCAGACUUGAGGUUCAUGGCUACUCCACAUCUGCUGUUGCUUCUUUACACCAGGGCUAGAAUUGUCUCGCUCUCGGGCCAUUGUAAUGAAGGGGAGAAGGCACAGCCUGGCCUAUCUUAUUUUAAAUUGAGAGUCCACUUAUGCCUCAAAUGACAGCUCUGGGUCCAGAAGCACCCCCAAGCUAUGAAUUUUGUCCUUUAGGGGGAGUGCCACCCCACCUAGAACAGAUGGAAUAUCAGCCAACUCAACAGACAAGCCACCCACAGACAGCACCUCCUUCUUGCCUGGGUUGAACCUCUGUUGGCCGUCAUCCAGUCCAUUACCAUGCUCAGACAUUGAUUCAGAGUGGCCACUGCCUGACUUGAUGAAAAAGAGUGUUAUCUGCAUAUUGGUGAUACCUCAGCCCAUAUCUCUGGAUAACCUCCCCAAGUUGUUUCAUGUAGGGGAUAAAAUGGAACCAUGUUCACCGUGGCACAAAGCAGUAAUCCCCCAACACCACCUUCUGGAAUCGGUGGGUCAGGUAGGAGUGGAAUCGCUGCAAGGCAGUGCCUCCUUUGCCCAACCCAGCCUGCUUAUCCAGAAGGAUACUAUGGUCGAUGGUACUGAAACCUGCUAAGAGGACUACAUAAAUCAACAGGGCUGCACUCCCCCCGUCUUUCUCCCAGCAUCGGGCAACCAAGGCAGUUUCCAUUCUAAAACUGUUCCUAAAGCCUGAGUGAAAUGGAUCUAGAUCAAGGUGAUCCAACUUUUCAUACCUCUAGGGCUGCAUGAGGAACCUGGGGGGCACAUAAUGAAUUAAAUUCCAUAUUGUACAUUGCAAUAUCUUUUAUAUACACAAUAUAACCAUUUAAAAAGGAGAAUUAAUUUUAGGACUAAUUGAAUGAACAAGAAUGCAAUGUGGAUAGCUCCUCCAGUGACUGCAGCCCACGCACAAUGGUUGGCUCAUCCCUUUCUUCCCUGUUCCUCUGGCCCAGAAACCCUCCCAUGUGACCCCCAGCCCUGCCUGCCUACUUGGAAUUGGAGUGCUGAGCCUCUUGUACUUGAGCCAGUGAAAGUUUCCCAGCAUGACUCGCCCACUCCUGCUGAUGAGCUCAGAGGUGCUUGGCUCCUGAGUGCCUUUGCACUCAUCGGCUGGAGCAGUGCAGGGCAUACCGGGACUAACUCUCCUGAGGCCAGCAUCCCAUCCCGCUCUCUCCUGAAGGAGAAAGCAAGACGGGCUGGCUGCCUUGCAAGAGCUGGCCACAAGGAUGCUCAUGCUGUUGCUGGAAUCGACUGCGGAGGGGAUGGCAGGGGGCUCUGAGCAGCAAGGGAGCUGUGGAACAAGCUGCUGCUUGUGCAGCUCAUGGGCCACGUGUUGGACCACCCCACUCUAGAUAAUCUGCAACCUCUUCCUCUUUGUUUCUUCAGGUCUUCAUUCUAUACCUUAUUGCUACAGAUAUGUCUGCCAAAGAUACUUUAUUCAGUUGUAUAUAAAUCACUUAACUAAUAUAGUAAUAUAUCAGCCCUUUA